rnacentral:tRNA from 1 species
UAUAAAUUAAUGUUAAAAUGCAUAAAAAUUUUUGAAAUUUUUUGAAAUAGUAAAUUUAUUCUAUUAUUUAUAU